rnacentral:rRNA from 1 species
AGAGUUUGAUCCUGGCUCAGAUUGAACGCUGGCGGCGUGCUUAACACAUGCAAGUCGAACGAGAAAGGGGCUUCGGCCCUGAGUAGAGUGGCGCACGGGUGAGUAACGCGUAGGUAAUCUACCCUUAUAUUCGGGAUAACAUCGCGAAAGCGGUGCUAAUACCGGAUAUCUUUGUAUGGACGCGAGUCUGUAUGAGGAAAGGUGACCUCUCCAUGGAAGUUACCGUAUGAGGAUGAGCCUGCGUACCAUUAGCUAGUUGGCAGGGUAAAGGCCUACCAAGGCGACGAUGGUUAGCGGGUCUGAGAGGAUGACCCGCCACACUGGAACUGGAACACGGACCAGACUCCUACGGGAGGCAGCAGUGAGGAAUAUUGCGCAAUGGGGGCAACCCUGACGCAGCGACGCCGCGUGAGUGAUGAAGGCCUUCGGGUCGUAAAGCUCUGUCAGAAGGGAAGAAUGGCCUGGKGGUUAAUAUCCAUGUGGAAUGACGGUACCUUCAGAGGAAGCACCGGCUAACUCCGUGCCAGCAGCCGCGGUAAUACGGAGGGUGCGAGCGUUAAUCGGAAUUACUGGGCGUAAAGGGCGCGUAGGCGGCCGAUCAAGUCAGAUGUGAAAGCCCACGGCUCAACCGUGGAAGUGCAUCUGAAACUGUUUGGCUUGAGUAUCGGAGGGGAAUGUGGAAUUCCUGGUGUAGAGGUGAAAUUCGUAGAGAUCAGGAGGAACACCGGUGGCGAAGGCGACAUUCUGGACGAAUACUGACGCUGAGGCGCGAAAGCGUGGGGAGCAAACAGGAUUAGAUACCCUGGUAGUCC